GCCGGCGUAGCUCAGUUGGUAGAGCGGAAGAAUCAUAAACUUCAGGUCACAGGUUCGAUCCCUGUCGUCGGCA
rnacentral:tRNA from 1 species